GAGGAGUGUGACCCAGGUGCCGCUUCCUCUCGCCGCCGAGGGUCAGGAGCCCGGGAGCGCGACCCUCCCCCGGCCAGGCCCGGCCCGGCCCGGCCCGUGCCCGCGGUCUCUGCCCGGGCUGACGCCCAGGACCGUGGUCGAUGAGAAGCCCCAACAGCACGGCGUGGCCCCUCAGCCUCGGUCCUGGGUUAAAGGGACAGAAGCCACUGUCAUUAUUCCAAUUCAGUCACUGAGGAGGUGAGGCUGAGAGGCAUUCCCAUGUCUGAAGAGCAUGGGCUUGCCUGACCCCCGCCCCCGUGCCCAGCCCAGCCCCAGCAGCCCAAGCAGUUCUCCAGGACUCAGGUUUCAGACCUUCAACACUUGCCUUGGGAGACAAACAGCGGUGCAGCCCUUGCUUGCAAGCCAUUCCACAUUAGACUUCGGAUUGAUUUAUGGCAGGAUCCCUGCUGUGCGAGAACUGCAGGGGGUGGGGGACGGCUACUUCUUGCUGCUAACUCAGACAGGAUGUGUCUAUAUCCUGUCUCAGUUUAUGUAGCUGCUCAUCAGAGCCAGAGGUUAGAGCCGAGAGGACCCACUUCCGGCAGGCCGGCCUGCUCUGCUCAGCUCAGCUGGGCUAGGCCCCAAUGCCACAGUUACUGCGCGUGAGUCACGCACAGCAAUCGGUUGCCUUGCCCUUGGAUGGAAGGGGUCAAGGCUCAGUGAGAAGACGGCCAGGUUUGGCAGCUUUAUAUAGAAUUCACCGCCUCUGGCAGAAGCAGAGGAUUG
rnacentral:sRNA from 1 species